rnacentral:rRNA from 1 species
GAUGAACGCUCGCUACAGGCUUAACACAUGCAAGUCGCGGGGAAACGUCAUGGUUACUUUCAAUCUGCGAUGGCUACCCGCGCGCGCGUGAGUAUCGCGUAUCCACCCCGCCCCUACCAACUGGGGAACACCUCGCGAAAGGAACUCUAAUAGUAUGUGAGAUCUUAACAGCGCAUGCUAAUGGGGUAAAGGAUGUAGCGGUGGUGGAGGGGGAUGCGUCCGAUUAGCUAGUUGGCGGGGUGACGGCCCACCGAGGCAACGAUCAGUAGGGGUUCUGAGAGGAAGGUCCCCCACAUUGGAACUGAGACACGGUCCAGACUCCUACGGGAGGCAGCAGUGAGGAAUAUUGGUCAAUGGGCGUAAGCCUGAACCAGCCAAGUAGCGUGCAGGAUGACGGCCCUAUGGGUUGUAAACUGCUUUUAUGAGGGGAUAAAGUGGGUCACGGGUGAGUUUUUGCAGGUACCUUAUGAAUAAGGACCGGCUAAUUCCGUG